rnacentral:rRNA from 1 species
AACGCGAAGAACCUUACCUACCCUUGACAUGGUCGGAACCCUGCUGAAAGGUGGGGGUGCUCGAAAGAGAACCGGCGCACAGGUGCUGCAUGGCUGUCGUCAGCUCGUGUCGUGAGAUGUUGGGUUAAGUCCCGCAACGAGCGCAACCCUUGUCCUUAGUUGCUACGCAGGAGCACUCUAGGGAGACUGCCGGUGACAAACCGGAGGAAGGUGGGGAUGACGUCAAGUCCUCAUGGCCCUUAUGGGUAGGGCUUCACACGUCAUACAAUGGUCGGAACAGAGGGUUGCCAAGCCGCGAGGCGGAGCCAAUCCCAGAAAACCGAUCGUAGUCCGGAUCGCAGUCUGCAACUCGACUGCGUGAAGCUGGAAUCGCUAGUAAUCGCGGAUCAGCAUGCCGCGGUGAAUACGUUCCC